GAAACCAACAGGGAUUGCCCCAGUAACGGCGAGUGAAGCGGCAAAAGCUCAAAUUUGAAAUCUGGCUCCUUUGGGGGUCCGAGUUGUAAUUUGUAGAGGAUGCUUCGGGUGAGGCCGCGGCGUAAGUGCCUUGGAACAGGACGUCAUAGAGGGUGAGAAUCCCGUCUGGCGCCGCUGGUACCUCGCCCGUGUGAAGCUCCUUCGACGAGUCGAGUUGUUUGGGAAUGCAGCUCUAAGCGGGUGGUAAAUUUCAUCUAAAGCUAAAUAUUGGCUGGAGACCGAUAGCGCACAAGUAGAGUGAUCGAAAGGUUAAAAGCACCUUGAAAAGGGAGUUAAACAGCACGUGAAAUUGUUGAAAGGGAAGCGCUUGCGGCCAGACUCGGGGGCGGGGGUUCAGCGGUCGUUCUCGACCGUGCACUCCCCCGUGUCCCGGGCCAGCAUCGGUUCCUGCGGCCGGUCAAAGGCCCCCGGAAUGUACCGUCCCCAGGGACGACUUAUAGCCGGGGGUGCAAUGCGGCCAGCGGGGACCGAGGAACGCGCUUCGGCUCGGAUGCUGGCGUAAUGGCCGUAAGCGGCCCGUCUUGAAACACGGACCAAGGAGUCUAACAUCCACGCGAGUGUUCGGGUGUCAAACCCGUGCGCGAAGUGAAAGCGAACGGAGGUGGGAGCCUUUCGGGGCGCACCAUCGACCGAUCCUGAAGUCUUCGGAUGGAUUUGAGUAGGAGCGUGGCUGUUGGGACCCGAAAGAUGGUGAACUAUGCCUGAAUAGGGUGAAGCCAGAGGAAACUCUGGUGGAGGCUCGCAGCGGUUCUGACGUGCAAAUCGAUCGUCAAAUUUGGGCAUAGGGGCGAAAGACUAAUCGAACCAUCUAGUAGCUGGUUCCUGCCGAAGUUUCCCUCAGGAUAGCAGUAACGUACUUCCAGUUUUAUGAGGUAAAGCGAAUGAUUA
rnacentral:rRNA from 2 species